AAUAUUUUUGGGGGGAAGUGAAACUUCUGUAUGAGUCUAUGAUGGCAAAUACAUGUGAUUAUACAUUUGUCAAAACCCAUAGAAUGUACAAUACCAAAGGGAAUUCUGAUCUAAACUGUGGAUUUUGGCUGAUUACAUUGUGUUAAUGUAGGGGGGUGAUGUUGGUAAUGGGGAAAGAUAUGCUUGUGUGGAAGCAGAAGGUGUACAGGUGAUGGCUGUACCUCCCUCUCAAUUUCACUGUGAACCUAAACCUGCUCUAAAAAGUAAAGCUUAUUAAAUAAGGUUUAUUAAAACAAAAUAUAUAAUAGAUAAGAACCUACUGUAUAGCACAGGGAACUCUAUUCAGUGUGUGUAAUGACCUAUAUGGGAAUGGAGUCUAGAAGAGGGUGCCUGUUUAUGUGUGUAUGGCUGAUUCACUUUACAGCAGAAAUUAACACAACAUUGUAAAGCAACUAUACUCAAAUAUAAAAUUAAUUAAAAAGCAAAAUGAGAUGAAAACAAAAAAAAUCAAAUAACCAGAUAUUUGAACUACAUUAUAUAAAAUAGUUGAGUGGUUAGCAGAAAUUUUAUUCUGAAUGUUUUUGUGCAGUGCCCAGGAAGCCUGUUCCUGAGGUUCCAGCCUCACUGCAAGACUUGUUUCUGUGUAGAACCAUGAAGAUUUGGUUCCCUGUGGAAGUUGACAUGGGAAAAAUUGAAAUAGCCCACAUACAUGGAAGCUGGAGAGAGAGGAUGAGAAAAAUGCUGGGAAGCUUCUAGAGGGGAUUUCCCGUGCUCUGAGAGACUGAGUCACCACUCCCAGUGCUCCAGAUUACUGGUGGGAACCUUUGAGGACAUGCCUCCACGUCAUUAUGCUCAACACCUUCAACUGUUGAAGGUACCGUCAUUCUGGAUGGGUCUCCCAGCAGAGUUCCUUGGAUUAUUAUGCAGAUGGUGGUUUAGCUACAACUGCAAUAGCACCAGCAGCAUCUGGGGACCAGGCAGCCAACAGAUGUGGACAUGUGACCUUGACAGCUAG
rnacentral:lncRNA from 1 species